ensembl:lncRNA
ACACGCACAUACAAAGUUCAUUUAGACAGAUAUGACAUCAACAUGUAUACAGUUAGCGCCCCCUAUUGGAAUAUAGUCAUCCAACAGUUCAGUAUACAGUUAGCGCAUUGGAAUAUAAAGUCAUUACAAGUCAUUAUAUGAUAAACAGAGAGGAAGACAGAUUCAUACUGUGUGGUAGUGAUAGAUAUGACAGACAGAGGUAGACAGAUUCAUACUGUGUGCUAGUGAUAGAUAUGACAGACAGAGAGGUAGACAGAUUCAUACUGUGUGGUAGUGAUAGAUAUGACAGACAGAGAGGUAGACAGAUUCAUACCGUGUGGUAGAUAUGACAGACAGAGAGGUAGACAGAUUUAUACCGUGUGGUAGUGAUGGUCAGUAGAGAUCAUAGCCUUCAGAUGGUCAGAGAAGGAAGACAACUGGACAACGCUGAACGAGUGAGAGUCUAGUCCUCUUUUAAAGGAAGACAAGACCUGGAGGAGAGAAUGAGGGAGGGUUUAGGAGGGAGGGUAGAGGGUUAGGAGGGGAAGGGAGGUAGG